UUUCCUCCAUUUGUCUGUUUUCAAUAUUUUUAUAGAAUUUCCCUCUCGCUGGCGAUGUUAUCUUAUAGAGAUCUUCACGAAGAGAUCGAGGAUGCUCUGCUGGAAUACGAAACAUACGACAAGUCGUUCCCUUUGCAAAAUGAUCUCGAAGAAGCCGUUUCCCAUUUUGAUCUUCAGAAAGUCUGCAGAAUCCUUGACAAAGGCAUCGACUUGGAGAAUGCAACGAAACAUAGGACAUCGAUUCUCCAUUUGGUUCUGGAAUUGGCGGAGAAGGAGGAGGAUGUGUGGGACGAUGUUCAGCAAAUAUUUGAAAAACUCUUGGCAUUCGGUGCACCAGUUAACAAGCAGGACAGAUUUGGCCGGACACCACUUCACCUUGCGGUCAGUUGUGGUCAGUCAGCACAGAUAGUGAAGCAACUGAUAGAGAAGGGUAGCAAAGUUGAUAAACAGGACAAUGCCGGUUGUACUGCCCUCAUGAUUGCCUUCCUGGUGACCCACUACGAUAUCAUCGACAUCGUCACUCACCUCUUAGACUCAAACUGCCAGGUAAACCUUCGAGACCAGAACGGCUGCACAGCCCUCCACUAUGUCUGCAUGAACAAGAAAUAUGAUACAAAGACAAGAUUCCAGAUUCUCAACAAAUUAUUCAGUGCUGGGGCCAGAGUCAAUAUUCGAGACCACGAAGGUUACAGCCCUGUCUGCUAUGAACUGGACCAAGUGUUAAAGAAAUCUCAAGCUUCACAUGGAAAGUACACCAAGUGUGACUUGACCAUUCUCCGACAACUUCUUCAAGGUGGUGCCAUCAUUGAUUGCAGAGCCUACCAGAAACAGGGUGUUUGGUUGCGGAAUAUCCUCAAACAAAAUCUGAAUUUGUUGUAUUCUGUGUUGGAUGUUGUCACCCCAACUCAGCGCCACUGUAAACUGUUCCAAUUCCGGAGGUUUCUUACCUACACAUAUUCCAAAAAUGAUCAUUUCUGCCCAGACACCGCCAAGAAGCUCAUAGAACACAUGUACAGACCGAUAAACUUAAAACUUAUUUGUAUGACUUACAUCCGAGAUAUUAUAAAGGACCAACUCCACCAGCGAGUACAUCUAUUGGAGAUACCUAUAAAACUCCGACAUGAUAUUUUAAAUGUAUGAAGUAAAAUGCUGAAGCCUGGCCCAACCCAUCCUAGCUGACCCCUUAAGGGUUCGUGAAAAACUAGAUAUUAACACCAACCCUACCCCAACAGCCCUUUGAAUUCUCCAGCCCAACUCAGCCCAACUGACUCCCUAAGGGUUCAUGGACUACCAGAGAGUUAACACCAACCCCACCUUAAGGGGCCUUUGAAUUCUUGUCUCAUCCACCAUAUAUAUUUAUGUUAAUGGUUUCUUAAGUGCUGGAUCUUCAACCCCACUCCCAGAGUUUAUAAAAAUUAGGGUCCUUACUCACCACAUGGGUUUAUAAAAUGCUUCAGGUUAAAACCAACCUUCAAGGGUUUUUAACAAUCUCAGUUUCAGCCCCAGUUUCCUGGGGUCACAUUUGAUUAAUUUGUUAGAGAUCUCACACCCACCACCACCACCACCACCACUAACCUCACCUCCCACAGCAGACCUUGCCACCACCAUCACCACCAUUUUCACUAUCACUUUCCAUUUCUGACUUUAUCAUCACAAGUGCACCUCUAUGUGGUCGACCUGACAUGCUAAAAAGAGCAAUCAAAGAGCAGGCAGUGGUGGUGGUGGUGGUGGUGGUGGUCAUAAUAGAAGUGGUACUGAUAUCCACCACACUAGAGGCUGACCUCUUUUUAUACCUGGUCAGCCAUCAGUUACAACCCUCUUACAGUGCCAAUGAAUGGCCGUCACUGGAUAACCGAUGACCUUUCUGGGUCAGUACACCUUCCCCCUACCCCACACACAUACAUCAUCACACAUUAUGGAUUAUACACCCAAGAUUAUAUACCCUGGCAUCUACUCGUGAGACAGACCUUCCAAAAGGUCCAGGGGUAUGGUUCUUUUGCCUGCUAGAAGUAACAGCUAUGUGUCAAAUCACUCUUCAACCAUCCUGUAAAAAAGGUUUGGACUGUCACAGCUGGAACACACAGUCAUAGAUCUGCUCAUUCGAGACUGA
rnacentral:misc_RNA from 1 species